CCCCAUCCAGUGUCCGUGCCCGUGUAACUCUCUGACUUGGGUCACACGGUCAUGCCACACGCCCGUGUGCCAGGCCAUGUAACUUUUGAAAUGGUCUCACAUGUCCGUGUAACUUUCAAAAUACAAACUUUACAACCUAAAGGGGACAUACGGCUAUGUCGCAUGGUCGUGUGUCACACAAGGAUGAGUCACACGCCCGUGUGGACCUAAAAUGAACCUUAAACCAUAAUUUUACCACUUCAAGCUUACUUGAACCUUAAGAAACUCAAAAAAACAACCAAAAC
rnacentral:lncRNA from 1 species